GGGACAAAACCGUAAGGCUUAUGGUCAAAGCGGACAAUACCUCUAGUGAUUGGAGCCUGAUCGUUACCUCUCUCUUCCCACAUUUUCCCUGUUUUUGACUUUCCCUUCUCAAUCUCUCCUUCCUCAUGUUUCUGUGUCAUCAUCAUAUCAACACCAGUAAAACUGAACCAACAAGUCAUGGGUAGAGCCAGCAAAACCCUACCCCUCAAUGCAGACCAUAGAGUUAAUAAAUUCAAACAAAACCCACUAGAACUUGCUCGCAUUCCUUCAAGUUAGGAUCAAUGCUAUGAGCCACAUCAGUGGUUGCAUCAUGGAAUGGUUGCAUGUACUCAUUUGGGUGGAGCUAAAAUUCAAAUACAAGGAAGAGAAUCAUCGGCAUUCAAAGACACCUGAAUUGUGCAUCUCCAAAUAGCAAUUCAAGAUAGGAAUGAUUGGACAUUGAGUUGGAGGGCAUAAUUUGUGAUAUUGUCUCCCUAAUCUUGCUAUUGUUACUGUUAUUCAUUAAAUAAUCCAAAUCUAUUAUUGUUUAUGUCAUCAAAGACUGGCGCUUGGAUGUUAAAAGAAUUUUGCAACAGUCGAGCCCAUGAUUGUGAUAUGGAAGUGAGAAGCGGAGCAAAGGAGACCUUGCAAUGGUAGAGAAUGGGAGUUUUAGUACGCUUUCACCAAUUGAGAAAUGGGUUUAUUAAAGAGAGCAAAGUUGCGUUCCAGCCUAAUUGACUUUUUUUUAGUGUCUGUUUGGUAUUGAGGUUGGAGGGUUAAAACUGCUUUUUAAAUAAAAAUAUUAUUUUAGAUAUUAAAAAUAAUUAUUUUGUUAUUUUAAUAUUUGUAUAGUUAAAAUUUAUUAAAUUUAAUUUA
rnacentral:misc_RNA from 1 species